rnacentral:rRNA from 1 species
ACACGACCGUACCGCAAACCGACACUGGUGCGCGAGAUGAGUAUUCUAAGGCGCUUGAGAGAACUCAGGAGAAGGAACUCGGCAAAUUGACACCGUAACUUCGGAAGAAGGUGUGCCUUUAGUAGGUGAACCAUUUACUUGGGGAGCCCAAUGAGGCUGCAAAAAAUCGGUGGCUGCAACUGUUUAUUAAAAACACAGCACUCUGCUAAGACGAAAGUCGACGUAUAGGGUGUGACGCCUGCCCGGUGCUGGAAGAUUAAAUGAUGGGGUGCAAGCUCUUGAUUGAAGUCCCAGUAAACGGCGGCCGUAACAAUAACGGUCCUAAGGUAGCGAAAUUCCUUGUCGGGUAAGUUCCGACCUGCACGAAUGGCGUAAUGAUGGCCACACUGUCUCCUCCUGAGACUCAGCGAAGUUGAAAUGUUUGUGAUGAUGCAAUCUCCCCGCGGAAAGACGGAAAGACCCCAUGAACCUUUACUGUAGCUUUGUAUUGGACUUUGAACAGAUCUGUGUAGGAUAGGUGGGAGGCUUUGAAGUGUGGUCGCUAGAUCGCAUGGAGCCAACGUUGAAAUACCACCCUGGUGUGUUUGAGGUUCUAACCUAGGUCCAUUAUCUGGAUCGGGGACAGUGCAUGGUAGGCAGUUUGACUGGGGCGGUCUCCUCCCAAAGUGUAACGGAGGAGUUCGAAGGUACGCUAGGUACGGUCGGACAUCGUGCUAAUAGUGCAAUGGCAUAAGCGUGCUUAACUGCGAGACUGACAAGUCGAGCAGAUGCGAAAGCAGGACAUAGUGAUCCGGUGGUUCUGUAUGGAAGGGCCAUCGCUCAACGGAUAAAAGGUACUCUGGGGAUAACAGGCUGAUACCGCCCAAGAGUUCAUAUCGACGGCGGUGUUUGGCACCUCGAUGUCGGCUCAUCUCAUCCUGGGGCUGUAGCCGGUCCCAAGGGUAUGGCUGUUCGCCAUUUAAAGAGGUACGUGAGCUGGGUUUAAAACGUCGUGAGACAGUUUGGUCCCUAUCUUCCGUGGGCGCUGCAGAUUUGAGGAAGCCUGCUCCUAGUACGAGAGGACCGGAGUGGACGAACCUCUGGUGUAUCGGUUGUCACGCCAGUGGCAUUGCCGAGUAGCUAAGUUCGGAAGAGAUAACCGCUGAAAGCAUCUAAGCGGGAAACUCGUUUCAAGAUUAGAUCUGCCGGGGCCUUGAGCCCCCUAAAGAGUCGUUCAAGACCAGGACGUUGAUAGGUCAGGUGUGGAAGCGCAGUAAUGCGUUAAGCUAACUGAUACUAAUUGCUCGUGCGGCUUGAUC